CGCUAAAUAAGGACAUAACACAUGCAAAUUAGACAAUAAUUAUAAGAAUAAUAAUUAUAAUGUAGUGAAGACGUGAGUAAAAAAUUAGGAAUAAUGAACUAUAAAAUAAGUUAAAUGCUUAAUAUCUCUAAUCAAAAUGAUAAAGAGUAAAGAAUAUGAGAAUAUUUGUUUAUAGUCAAGCCAAUAAUGGUUUAGGUAGUAGGAUUAAUAAAGUUAAGCCUAGCCAACGAUCCAUAAUCGAUAAUUAAAGUUAGAACGAUCACGUUGAUUUUGAAAUAUAAUCAAUAUCUAUAUGAUACAGCAGUGGGGAAUAUUAGACAAUGAUCGAAAGAUUGAUCUAGUUACUUAUUAGGAUGAUAUUAAAAAAUUAUUAAUAUAUUUAUAUAUUAAUAAUAAUAAAUUAAUAAAUUGAUUAAAAAUAAAAUCCAUAUAUAAUAAAAAUAAUGAUAUUAAUUAUCUUUAAAUAAAUAAUAAAGAAAUAUAAGAAUAUAUAUUUAUAUAUAUAUAAUUAUAUUUAUAAUAGUCUUAACUAAUAAUUGUGCCAGCAGUUGCGGUCAUACAAUGAAGGCAAGCGUUAAUCAUAA
rnacentral:rRNA from 1 species